GCCCUAGUAGCUUAAACAUAAAGCGCCGGUCUUGUAAUCCGGAGAUCGAAGGUUAAAAUCCUUCCUAGUGCC
rnacentral:tRNA from 1 species